rnacentral:rRNA from 1 species
UACGUAGGUGGCGAGCGUUGUCCGGAUUUACUGGGCGUAAAGGGAGCGUAGGCGGACUUUUAAGUGAGAUGUGAAAUACUCGGGCUCAACUUGAGUGCUGCAUUUCAAACUGGAAGUCUAGAGUGCAGGAGAGGAGAAUGGAAUUCCAUGUGUAGCGGUGAAAUGCGUAGAUAUAUGGAGGAACACCGGUGGCGAAAGCGGCUCUCUUGCCUGUAACUGACACUGAGGCUCGAAAGCGUGGGGAGCAAACAGG